ACGAACGCUGGCGGCGUGCUUAACACAUGCAAGUCGAGCGGAAAGGCCUCUUCGGGGGUACUCGAGCGGCGAACGGGUGAGUAACACGUGAGUAACCUGCCUUCAGCUUUGGGAUAACCCUCGGAAACGGGGGCUAAUACCGGAUAUUCAUCUCGUGGGGCAUCUUGUGGGGUGGAAAGUUUUUCGGCUGGGGAUGGGCUCGCGGCCUAUCAGCUUGUUGGUGGGGUAAUGGCCUACCAAGGCGGCGACGGGUAGCCGGCCUGAGAGGGCGACCGGCCACACUGGGACUGAGACACGGCCCAGACUCCUACGGGAGGCAGCAGUGGGGAAUAUUGCACAAUGGGCGGAAGCCUGAUGCAGCGACGCCGCGUGGGGGAUGACGGCCUUCGGGUUGUAAACCUCUUUCGACCCUGACGAAGCGUGAGUGACGGUAGGGGGAGAAGAAGCACCGGCCAACUACGU
rnacentral:rRNA from 1 species